UACGUAGGGUGCAAGCGUUGUCCGGAAUUAUUGGGCGUAAAGAGCUCGUAGGCGGUUUGUUGCGUCGGCUGUGAAAUCCCCGAGGCUCAACCUCGGGUCUGCAGUCGAUACGAGCAAACUAGAGUGUUGCAGGGGAGACUGGAAUUCCUGGUGUAGCGGUGAAAUGCGCAGAUAUCAGGAGGAACACCGGUGGCGAAGGCGGGGUCUCUGGGCAACAACUGA
rnacentral:rRNA from 1 species